AAUCCAUGUUGAGGGUAACGUCGAAUCAAAUUUUUAUACCUUUCUCAUGCUUCAUAGAGUGAUUUGAAGUCAUUUUGCUUGAAUUGACCAAUCUCACUCUUAAGUUU